rnacentral:rRNA from 1 species
GAGUUUGAUCAUGGCUCAGAACGAACGCUGGCGGCAGGCCUAAUACAUGCAAGUCGAACGCCGUAGCAAUACGGAGUGGCAGACGGGUGAGUAACGCGUGGGAAUCUGCCCUUGGGUUCGGAAUAACAGUUAGAAAUGACUGCUAAUACCGGAUGAUGUCUUCGGACCAAAGAUUUAUCGCCCAGGGAUGAGCCCGCGUAGGAUUAGCUUGUUGGUGAGGUAAGAGCUCACCAAGGCGACGAUCCUUAGCUGGUCUGAGAGGAUGAUCAGCCACACUGGGACUGAGACACGGCCCAGACUCCUACGGGAGGCAGCAGUGGGGAAUAUUGGACAAUGGGCGAAAGCCUGAUCCAGCAAUGCCGCGUGAGUGAUGAAGGCCUUAGGGUUGUAAAGCUCUUUUACCCGGGAUGAUAAUGACAGUACCGGGAGAAUAAGCCCCGGCUAACUCCGUGCCAGCAGCCGCCGUAAC